UCCUUAUUUUCUCUUUUUGAGAAAAUAUUCUUUACGUACCUUCAUAGCCCAAUCCACUCCUCUCCUUCAACUUUAAUGUAACUAAAAUUUUCUCCUUUAUUUCCAUGAUCUACACAACCCAGUAUUUUAACCCAUGUUGGAUCUCUUUCUGAUCCAUAUGCUUAAUUCGUUGAGCAAAUCAACAACAAGAUGCAACAUCUUUGCAUCAUAUGUUGGACAUCUAAUGUUACAAAGAUCGUUGAAGGUGGAUUUUGUUUAUUUGUCAUCUCCUACAUUCUUCGUCAUCAACUCGAUUGUAAUUUCUUUGAUUAACUAUGUCAUAAGAUUUAUGUCUUAUCGGUGACAUAUUUUUAUUUAUAGGAUCUCCAAAUUUGUUUGCUCGAUACAACACAAAUCUGCAGAGCAUUUUGAGAUGUUUUCAAAGUACUUUGAGAUGUUUUCAAAGCAUGUUGAGAUGUAUUAGAUUAUUUUAUGAUUUAAUAGUUGUGAAUUGACGGGUCUCCUAGCAUGUAGAGGUGUUUUCAAAGCAUGUUGAGAUGUAUUAGAUUAUUUUGUGAUUUAAUAGUCUUGAUUUGAUAGAUCAAGAUAAAUUAACAAUUGUGAUUUCUUUGACUAAUUAUGAUGUACUUUUUUACAUCCAUUUUUUGUAUUUAUUUAAUGACCACAUAUAAUAUGGGUUUAUUUUAUUUAUAAAUAACUCACUCAUAGAUUAUAAUAAUUAAUAAUGAAAUAAAUUUUUA
rnacentral:lncRNA from 1 species